GAUGAACGCUGGCGGCGUGCUUAAUACAUGCAAGUCGAGCGAACGGACGAGAAGCUUGCUUCUCUGAUGUUAGCGGCGGACGGGUGAGUAACAUGUGGAUAACCCACCUAUAAGACUGGGAUAAUUUCGGGACACCGGCGCUAACACCGGAUAAUAUUUUGCACCGCAUGGUUCAAAAGUGAAAGACGGUCUUGCUGUCACUUAUAGAUGCAUCCGCGCUGCAUUAGCUAGUUGGUAAGGUAACGGCUUACCAAGGCAACGAUGCAUAGCCGACCUGAGAGGGUGAUCGCCCACACUGGAGCUGAGACACGGUCCAGGCUCCUACGGGAGGCAGCAGUAGGGAAUCGGCCGCAAUAGGCGAGAACCUGACGGAGCAACGCCGCGUGAGUGAUGAAGGUCUUCGGAUCGUAAAACUCUGUUAUUGGGGAAGAACAUAUGUGUAAGUAACUGUGCACAUCUUGACGGUACCUAAUCAGAAAGCCACGGCUAACUACGUG
rnacentral:rRNA from 1 species